rnacentral:ncRNA from 1 species
UUUUCUUAGUUCUUUUUCUGGAUACAGGUGGCAUUUUCUGUCCAAAGUCUUUCUUUUGGGAUUGUUUUGAAUCAUAACCCAACAAAUAAAGUUAAAACCCAACUACGCUGUAAUACGCCCUAGUUGAUAUUAAAAUACGCAACUUACAUGACUUUACCAAUGCUGAAGACACUAAAGCUAAGGUACAAACUGGGAUCAGAGACCCCACUAUGCUUAGCCAUAAACCUAGGUAAUUAAAUAACAAAAUUACUCGCCAGAGAACUACUAGCAACUGCUUAAAACUCAAAGGACUUGGUGGUGCCCUAGACCCUCCUAGAGGAGCCUGUUCUAUAAUCGAUAAACCCUGAUACACCUCACCCCUUCUCAUUCAACAGUCUAUAUACCGCCAUCGUCAGCUCACCCCAAUAGGGUCCCAAAGUGAGCAAAAUCAUCAAACCAUAAAAACGUUAGGUCACGGUGUAGCAUAUGAAGGGGGAAGCAAUGGGCUACAUUUUCUACAUUAGAACAUAACGGAUUGUCUACUGAAAUAAAGACAUGAAGGAGGAUUUAGUAGUAAAUUAAGAAUAGAGAGCUUAGUUGAAAUAGGCAAUAGGGUGCGUACACACUGCCCGUCACCCUCCUUGAUAAAGUAACCUUCAAUACCUAAUUAGAAUACGUCAAAAAGAGGAGAAAAGUCGCAACAUGGUAAGUGUACUGGAAAGUGCACUUGGACAAUCAAAAUG